GCAAGUCGAGGGGUAACAGGGUAGCUUGCUAUUGCUGACGACCGGCGCACGGGUGCGUAACGCGUAUAGAAUCUACCUUGUACUGAGGGAUAGCCUUUGGAAACGAAGAUUAAUACCUCAUAGUAUACAAAUUCGGCAUCGGGUUUGUAUUAAAGGUUACGGUAUAAGAUGACUAUGCGUUCUAUUAGCUAGAUGGUGUGGUAACGGCGUACCAUGGCGACGAUAGAUAGGGGCCCUGAGAGGGGGAUC
rnacentral:rRNA from 1 species